GCUGAGGGCUGGGGCUGCGGCCGGGGGCGUCGCGAGCCGGGCACUCCCCCAAGCCUGUGCUUGACCCGUCUCGCCGGGCUCCCGGCUCUUGAAGCCGUGAGAGGCAGACUAGCAGUGUAGUGCGUGGGUAUUUUUGGAACACAGGCCACGCGAUUUUCACAUCUCCACACGUUCGGGAGCGCUCUCAAGGUUUGCAGGAAUUUGAUUCAGGAGUAGGCGUGCCAAGGCCAGUGGUUUCCAGCAGCUCUCCCCGCCCCCUCGCACGCCUGCGUUUAAAAAAUUCCGUUUCCUAUAUCGACAGCGAUCUAGCUAGCUAUGUGAUACCUUAAAUAUCAAAGUAAAAAUCAAAAACAGCAUUUCCAACCUUCCCACCUCCCGGCUGCAAGCCCAAAACUCGUCACAGAAAAAUUCUGGAGCUGCCCUUGUUUUCGCUGGAGGCCACAGACGGCUCAGAACAACCGUCUUGAGGGAAAUGAGGACGUGGAUCACGGAGCUGGGGCAACGGACAGUUUCAGGCUGAACAAUAAUAAAAAUUUUAAGGCCACAUGUAAUAUAGGAAGAGACUGGGUCUAGUUUCUGUUAUCCACCAGAAAAUAGGGCAUGUACACUCACCAGCAAGACAGAGAGACAGA